GGACAGAGCAGGGCUGGCGGGAGGCAGGCGAAAGACAGAAUUUUCCUGAAAAAACGGGGGUAUCUAAGGACCCCAAAUUUGGGGAGCUAGUCCAGGACCGUCUUCCCAACAUCCUAGAUUUUUUGGGGAUUUUUUGGGGACCCCGGGACCCCUCUAGAUGGGGUGAGGAAUGUAGUGUUGGGGGAAUCUGACUGGGGCAUUGCAGCUGCCUCUCCCGCCGAGUUGGAGACGGAUGGGCUGGACGGGUUUUGGGGGGGGUGUCCCCAAUUCUGACUGGGAGUGGAGGAACCCCCUCCAGAGCCCUCUCGUGGGGGUGCCCCUUCCUCAGGGCACUCCCCAGUCCUUGAGCCAGCCGAGAGGAAGGAGGCCAGCGAUGCGACUGGGGCGGCUCCUUUCUCCUGCACCCCAAAUGUGAGGGAUGCACCCCAAAAUUUGCUCCUUUCAAAAUAGGGGACCAGGAUCUCAGGGGAAAGUAGCUGAGGGCAGAUGGGAUGUGAAGAGUGGUGCCCCUGAACUGAGUCACUGGAAAGGCCCAUCUCCAGUCCUCUUCUGGGAGAGACUCGUAGGUGUGCAAGCCCACCAGGUAAGGCUAGAUUAUUUACAGGUGGAUUGAGAUGGGUGGGGGGUUGUGCUGGCGAUCAAAGCCAGGAGGGCCUUGUGCAUGCAAGGCAACAACUCUUAAUACUGAGUCACAUCCCCAGUCUUACAUUGAGAUUUUUAAUGAGUCCUGGUCAAGUAGUUCAGAAAAUCAGUAUCCCUGGACACACCAGUGCUAUAUAAAUAACCAGGAAACUCCCAUUAUCAAAUACAGUAAUUAAGUAACUCAAGGCACCCUAAAAUCAAAUUCUUAAAGAUCCUGAUUAGCGGUUUAGAUUAGAUUAGCACUGACCAACGGUGACAGAGCUUACAUUCUUUUACUCCUCAUGGGAAUGCUACCAAAACUAGCAAAAAGUUGAAAAGGUGCUGAGCUCGGAGUUGUGAGGAAGACUUUGGAAUAAUAUUAAGGAGGAAGAAAGCUGCCCACCCCCCUUUCUCUGCUACCCUCCCUCACACUGUCCGUUCCUUGAUGACACAGCUGAUGUGAUUAAGAUCGUCCCCAAAUCGCUUCACAGCAGCCCUCAGCAUCUCUAUCUCCGUCUCCGUCCACUUCGCACUGUCGGAAGGGAGAGGGGGGAUAGCAAAAACAGGAGGCGGGUGUGGAGCUAGCCCACAGGCUAUGCACUCCACAGCCAACCAGCCUCCUCCCCGCAAUCUCUGGGCCCCCUUCCAAGAAACCAUAAAGCGGGCAUUCCUUUUUAAAAAGCUUUGGGGGUCCCUAACCACACGAAAUUGCAUCCACCAUCCCCUUACAGCACCCCUCUGCCCCAUCAAUGUGUAACAGCUGCUGUCAACAGGCCACUAAAACCAAUUCACCAAGUAGAGGCCUUACAAACAGAAUUUCUGAACACAGUCUGCAGUAGUCUGAGGGGAUAACAAAAUUUGGGGCGGCGGCGGUGGUGGUGGUGGAGGCCAGUCGGCUCGCAGUAGGGUGCAACUGUGAAAUCUAAGUCCGGGUUGGGGAACCGUUUGCAUCUUCACGUGUCACUCACUUACUCAUUUCAACACUUACUAACACCUACUCUGCACUGUGCCAGCUACAGUGAGAAACUAACGUCUGCCCCUGCCCUAAGAAGGUCCACGUCUGUGACAGAUCCAAGCGUCAGUUCUCGGCGUCAGCGUCCCAGCCCCAUCUCACGUACCCCGCGGGGGAAGAAUCAGACACGGGAUGCAGCUGCAUCGUCAGCUCCCCGAGCUUCGUGAAGGCGGCGCCGGCCGCGGAGAAGAUCUCUCCGACCUGGGGGCGGGGCAGGAUUACGGGGGGCCGGCGCACAGCCGGUCCACCGUCCCGCCCGGAGCCCCUAGCCCCACCCCAGGCUCGGCCCUCCCCCGCCUGGCGCAGAAGAGCCAGGAGCCGAGCGGGGGGCCCGCCCGCCCGUGACCGCCAGGGAGCGCUGUCCGCGAGGGAGGUCGAACCUUUGUGGACGCUGACGUCAUGUCCCCGCGCACCUCCUCACCGAGACGCUCCGCCGCCGCCGCCACGCGAGCCGAGACCACGGCGGGCGCGACUGUGGAGCCCCUCCGGCUCCCGCGCAGGAAGUCCCGCCCCCGGCAGCUGAUUGGCUCAAGCCUGGCCGCUUCCCGCCCCUCCUUCCGCGGGCAAAUAAAGCCUCAGCGCCGUGGGGAACGAGGUGGAAGACACCGCCUCACUUCCGGGUCCAGCUAGCCGCCCAGCCCCUCCAUCCUGCCUGCUGCCUUCUAAGGCAUGCAGUUUCCCGGCCUUCCAGCCCUCCAACCCCGGAGCUCCUCGGGUCCCCUCUCCAGUUCUCGGUGAGCAGGCCCCUCACCAACAUGAUCACUCCCCAGACGCUAAGGACGAUGCCGCACGCGGCCACCUUGGGGCCACAGCACAGGAGCGACGCCAUGAAGAAGGGAGUCGGGGAAUCAAGCCGAGUGUGAGCCGAGUAGAACGGCAGCGAUGCCGAGCCUAAGAUACGCAGCCGGGGUCAGCGAGCCGCAUUUGAGGACUUGAGCCAAACAGUGAGCCGAAAGGGCGUGGCCUUCGGAAUCUACCAUUCGGCCUGGGGGUGGCAGCAGAGAGGAUGGGCGCCUUACGGUCCUCCACGGGUUUUGGCGAGAGAAUACACAUCUGAAACUAAAGCCGCCCGCCUGGAAGCCCUUCCUGACCUACAGAUAUGUAUCUGGGGCCUGAUUACUCUAAGACCGAGGAUUCGUUCCUUGGUCUCUUUCCCCCUCCAUAUUGGAAUGGAAGGCGCCGAAUGGCACAUGACCUGGUUGGUCAUGUGACUAGGAGCUAGCCAUAACCAGGCCUCCAGAAACGUCCGACUCUGGCAAAGACUCUUGGGGCCCCUGCUUACCAUGUCUGGCUGACGGCGACCCAGAUGCCAUGUGAUGGUCAUUUGAAGACAAGACUGCUGGACAUCAGGUAGAGACCCCAUCACCAUGGCCAUUGUCACAUCUUCUUUUGUGUGUAAGAUGUAAGUGGAACACCAGCCCCAGUGGGAACUGGCGGAACUCUUCACCGGACAUGAUUCUGGCAGGAUACAGGUGGUGUGACGAGGGGUGGGGACAGGAAUAGAAGUCGAUUUCUGUGUCUCUGAGAAGCAGUCACGGAUAUCUAGAAUUGUCCUGAGUCUUGGAAGGUGUGAAUGGGAAUUGGCCACUGUCAUGUUCAGAGGGAAGGCUGUAAUGAGGGGUUGGGGUCCUGUCCCGGGGGAGGGACUCCUGUAGAGCCUCCCAGGAAUCCCUGAUUGUGGGGUGGACCUUACCUCGGUCCUGAGCUUUGCAUAGCCCCACCUCAGUGAUCUCCCGACACCAUGCCUGCAGCUCAAGGUCCCCCCUCACGACGUCAUCCCUCGGGUAGAAGAGGUGGACAAUCCCCUCCACAUACCUGCCCAGAGGAGGGAAGUGAGCUCUCCAAAAGCAGAACAUUCCAGCCUCUGACCUCUUCCUGUGCCUCCCUCUUACUGUGCUUGGAGCAGAUCCUCUAGGACUUGUCUUUUGGGACAGUCCCCAGGUUCUCUGUUUAGCGAUAUCCAUAUGUAUGUGCACAUGUAUGUUUGCUGUGCUGGGGAUCAAACCCAGGCUCUGCACACGUUAGACAAGCAUUCUACCACUGAGCUACCGCCGUAGGUUUUUGACACAACAGUGUAAAGGAGAUCUCGGUUCUAGGGAUUCCCUAUACAUAGCUGCUGUCUGCUGUUCCUGAUGAAACCCUUGCUCUUCUAGAUCCCUGGUCUUCCCAACCCCAUGAUGCUCCUCGCUGACAUACUCUGCCCCUACCCCGGGCUCCUCAGUUUUAGGGUCCACCCACGAUCUCCUUCCUUUUCCUCACCUCUCCCUGGAGAAUGCUGUUGUGCCAUGGUGAACAACGGAGCUCUGCCCUCCUCCCACCCCUCCCGUUUCUCAGCUCUCACCUACCGGGCAAUGAUCUUCCACAGCUGUAACGCAUCCUGGGCGUAGAGAGCACCUGGGAUUCCCAGCAGGCCUCGCUCAGCCAGGUCAUCAGGAGGACAGAGGGAGCAGUAGGUUAGCUGAGCCAUUGCCUGACGGAGCAACUGCACGUGGCCCCCUCCGCCUGUGUUUACUGCCUGCGACAAGAGUUGACAGGUCUUGAGGAAUGGAUAAUUCCAGCUUACUGUAUAAGAGAUCCAGCAGUGCAUUUUCAGACUUAAAGUCGUGUAUAUAAAGGGCCAAGCUUGAGGUUAAAGGUCAGGGCACUCCUGUGAGUUGGCCCAGGCUUCUGAAGGUGGUAAAAAUCACAGAAAAGUGGGCGAUUAGAUAGUUCAGUACUCCAUGCUGUCCUUACCUGGUCAAAUAUUCCUCUCUCCGAGAUGAGCUGGGUCCGGGCCCGCGUGUUGAUUUCCAUAGUGUAGCGGAUAUGGGGGACCAGGAGCUGGGGUGAGGAGAGGAGGCAGUUAGUAGACUUGUGUUUAGUCUUUUAGAGUCAGAGUUUCACUAUGCAGUUCAGGCUGGCCUUGAACUCAUUUCGUAGCCCUCUGCCUGCCUCAGCCUCCCCAAGGCUGGGAUUACAGGCGAUGCUUCUGCCCCCUCUGCUGCCUUGACAGGCUCGUCUCCUGUGACCCUGAGCACUCAUUCUCAUGUCCUUGUUUCCUCAUAACCUGGGCGCUGGAGUCACAUGGGUCCACUUUACCACUCUAAUAAGUAGCCAACAGAAUAACCCAAUAACCUGCAAUCUCUGUGUUUACAAGAAAGGGCGGUAGUAGACUGUCCUCGGCCAGAGCUGCGGUGAUGGCUGUGGUUAUGUGGGUGAUGUGUGCAGAGUGUUUAGUCACACAGAAGUCCCCCAGCAGCAGCUGCUGCUGUUCUGAUAUUGGGUUGAAUGUAGGUGCCUUUAUGAAUCGUUCUCUUUUGAUUUUCUUUUGCAUUUUCUCUAUCAUUCGCAUCUUCGUAGCUUAAACCAGCUUGUCAAAGCUGCACCCCCUUCCACUGUUGUCAGUUCGAUGUGUUUGGGGAGGUGGUUUGGGCAGACACUUUCAGUUAGAAGUGGAGAGCUCUACUGAGCUGCCUGUUUAUGCAAGCGAGGGGCCUUUGUCAGUUCCAUCCCAUCCCCAGUCAGUCUUCCUCUGUUUCGCUUUUCUUGGCUAUUAAAAAGGCCACCUAAUCCUUGUGGCUUUUUUUUUCUUUGUCUUUUUACACAUGUUUCUUUUUAUCUUAUUUGUCUUCUUUAAUACCCAGUUAAUAUGCGAGUUUUAUCCAGUUUUGGUAUCUACCUGAAUAGAUGAUGCUGGACAUCGAACUAAACUAAGUAGUGAUUCCUUUAAUACUAAUAACAAAACUCACACUAGUCUGCAACUUUUCAGAAAGUUCAUGAAAGCUGCUGAAUAUUACUAAAAGCCAAAAUUCCCUAUCAAAAGAAAAGAUGCCUGAGAACAAACAAAUAAUAAUAAAUAGUAAGGACACAGUUUUGUCAGCAUUUAGUAUGUGCCACACCAUUGCUCUGGGCCAUUCUAGCCUCUGACAAACAUUCUGUGGAUGUGGGCAUCUGUUUGGUACUGAGGCUGGCACUCGGGAUUCAGAGACUCCAGCAAGCAAAAUCAAAAGUCUGCAUGGGUGACCCUUGUGCCAUUUACACACUCAGUCUUCCUGAGCGCCCAGGAGUGACAGACAGCUGUUUGCCUUGGGAUGAGGUUGCUAUGGUGAGUGGAGACAAGGUGGUUUUCAUAAGGCUUUCCCUGUCCAAGGUAGGCAGAGGAUGGCGAUGCAGGAGGUGUCCCAGGACAAAAAAAUCAAAGACCUGUGCCUCACACUGGCCUGCAUCUUUUCUGUGUAGCAGUGUUGUGGCCACAGAUGCUCUCCUGUGUGUGCCAGGCUUGGGUCCAGAUGGCUGCCUCGUGAGACAGUCCAGCUGCUCUCCUUACCAAGUUCUCGCUUGCGCACUUUGCCACUACAUCACCUUCCUGGAGCUAAACCCAGUCAACUCAUUUUUGCUCCCAAACAAAUGUUUUUAAGCCUACCAUUUCUGACAGUUAUUGUUUCAUAAGCUUGUAUCAUGUUUGUGCCCUUCUCUGCCACAUAUCCCAUAUGGAAGGUGUCUGUAAGAUUUUUGAGAACAUUUUUUAAGCAAGCAUAUGUCUUCCUGCCUUCUGUCCAGAAACUGAUGUCAAACUCUCUUUUUCACAAAAUUAUAGUAUUUCUAGAUGAGUACAACCCACCUACGCUGUGGGCUUCCAGGUGUUAAGGAAGCUUGGACUUUGGUGUCAGCCCUGUUCCAUUGAGGCGUGCUGUAGCUGUUUCUGUUUCUUCCCUCAGUGUCCCUGUCGCUAUCACCGCUGAGCACAUCUUCACCCACCUUCCUCUUGGGUAGGUCUGAGUGGCCUGCUGGGCUGCUCGUUGCCUUUUAAUCUGUUUCUGCCUAACUGGUUUCUUGGUUAAGGUGGUACAGUCUUCAUUAGCACCAUACUGUUUAAUGGCAUCCUUCUGAUUUCAAACUCUAGUUCCAGAUAAUGUUUUCUGGUUGGUUUUGAUACACUUGUUUUCCUAGAUAAAUACUAAUUUAACCUAGUCAUAAGGCUUUUGUUUUACUGACAAUAUCCCAGCUAUAAUGCAAGCCCAUUUCUAGACUCUCAGGUCUUUGGAAAUCUCAGAAGGCCCCUUGUAAGGUGUCCUGAAACAAAGUUAAAUGACUCAACUUGAUUAAAAUAAGAGUCUUGGGUCAUUGAUAUAGUCUUUUUCUGUGCUCCAUUUUUCAUUAACAAAUUGCUAUUUUUUUCUUUUGCUACUGCACUGUCCUUUGAACCUGAGCCAUCAGCUUCCGUGGGGUGAGGAACACGAGAAGAAAUACCUUGUAGACAGGGUGCAGCCCUGGGAGGCACCUCAUGGUGGCGACAGCGAUGACCUCAGCCACUAGGUGCGUGUUCAGCAGAUGAUACUGGAGCUGGUGCAGCUGAAAAUCCGCAUUGCGGACCCAGGACUUGGCCAGGAGCCAGGCAAUUGUGAGACCCAUGAAAGUCACCAAAAGGGGCUGUCAAGGGAUUAUGGAGACCCUGGGGGACUACUGACCAGCCAGGGUACUCUUCUGGCCCCAGAAAAUCUGAUCGAAGUCUUCUAGGCGGUUCCAGGGGCUCAAGAGGGUGUACACGCGUUUGACGAUCAUCUCCACAACCCUAAGACAGACUUCCACUCCAGGAUCCUAUUUCAUGUGGAUGUCCUUCUCCCCUUCGCCCCUCACUUGUCUCUGGAGUCAUCUUAUUUUCCAAGGAAAAAUAAAACCCUGGACCUGUUAGAGCAUCGGGACGGAACCAGGAGCUGAGGCUCUACCUAGCAGAGGCUGACGAGAGCCCACCUUAUCUUUCCAGACAGCAUUGGUAGAGCAGAGCUGUCCCUGUUGCAGAAGACAGACUGAGCAUGGGAAGAAGCAGCACAGAGGAAGUUGAGGAGGCAGUUCAUUGCACGACUGGGCUUGACUGGCAUCUCUCCCAAAGAAUCAGCCCUGCCUGGCCAGCAAGGUUUUGGGUCUUUCACAGGGAGAGAAAGCAGGAGGUACAAAGGCAGGCUUAGUGUGUCAUCACUGGAGGCUGGAUGACAUCAUGGGUUGCUGAGGAAGUUUAAACACCAUGUUACACCACACAAGGCCAUCGCUAAACAAGCAUGGGUGACACAGAGGAAGGCAUAUUCUGUCAUCAGGAUUUCCCAGACGUGUCUGCUGGGUUUUGGUGGGCAUUCUUUGCAAGGUUUUAUUUAGAAAUUUUUCCUUUUGGGUCUACUCAACAUUUCUGUAAAAGAUUGGGAGAUUCAUCCUGGGUCCUUCAUCCAGCUCUCAUGGAUAGUCCUUAUUCCUCAUGAUCCCAAUACUGGACUCCCUUUUCAGGAAGAAGGGUCUCUUUUCAGCCCAGGGUAUCUUAAGCUUCUCACAUUACCUGGCGAAGCCGCAGUUAAAGGACAGGUGAGCUGUGGGUCCAUGCAAAGGGUCCUCUUGGGGACCCCUGCCCACAUUCUACAGCAGCCCCUACUCUGCUUAUCUUUCUUUUUGCUUUCAUGUUUACCUCACCUCCCAUACUGUUCAGAUUUCUUAUGGGAUUUCUAGAGAAUUUUCAUAUCUUGCCUACUUCUUUGACCUACCCUAUGCUGCACCAUAUUUGAAAGCAGUCACUGACACUGAGGUUUGCCAUGUAACAGAUUUUACUGAAGGUCUUCCAGGACAGUGUUAUGGUUUAUGUUCAGAUCCUCCCCCUGCCCCCCCCCAAGCUUCAUGCAGUCAUGGACGCAGCCAAAUCUAGCCUUCGUGAUUGGUUUGUUGUCUAGCACUUGGGUUGGUGGUGUGAGUGCUGCACCUGCCCAGGGGUGGAGCCAGCAUACAGUGUAACAGUGGGAAGGAGAGGAAGGUGUGUCCUCCUCUGUUUUUUGUGCUGUUAUCGCUUGCUGUUUGUGGCUCCUGUGAAGAAGUGGCCCUGCCAGGCCAUCCUGCUGCUUGGAGCCAGCUGAGUAUAGACUAAAACCUCCAAAAUUAUAAGAAAUAAAGCUUCCCUUCCCAAAA